rnacentral:rRNA from 1 species
UCGAGAAUCUUCGGCAAUGAGCGCAAGCUUGACCGAGCGACGCCGCGUGGGUGAUGAAGAUUCUCGGAUCGUAAAACCCUGUCAGGUGGGAUGAAAAACCAUUCGGUUAAUACCCGAGUGGCUUGACAGUACCACCAGAGGAAGCUCCGGCCAACUCCGUGCCAGCAGCCGCGGUAACACGGGGGAGCAAGCGUUGUUCGGAUUCAUUGGGCGUAAAGAGCUCGUAGGCCGCUCUGUAAGUCGGAAGUGAAAGACCACGGCUCAACCGUGGAAAACGCUUUCGAAACUGUGGAGCUUGAGGCCGGGAGAGGAGAUCGGAAUUCCUGGUGUAGCGGUGAAAUGCGUAGAUAUCUGGAGGAACACCGGUGGCGAAGGCGACAUCCUGGACCAAUUCUGACGCUGAGGAGCGAAAGCCAGGGGAGCAAACGGGAUUAGAUACCCAUGUAGUCCCUGAGCGGGCUGGCAAGGCGCAU